AUGCUUGGUGUUGAUCAACUUGACAUGAUCAAAGGGAAUCCACAAAAGAUUUUGGCCUUUGAAAAGUUUCUUGAGGAAAACAUGGAAUGGACUGAUAGAGUGGUUCUACUUCGAAUUGUUGUGCCAACUAGAACUGAUGUCCCUGAGUGUAAGAGCAUUUAUGUAUUUUUGUUGUUGCCAUCAUAUGUUUGA
rnacentral:rRNA from 1 species